rnacentral:rRNA from 1 species
AAAACCUAAGAAAUCCAAAAGAUCGAAUGGGGAGAUUCACCGUCAGCGUGUCGGCUCGCUUGCGGAUGGCGAUGGCUCGUCGGGUCUCGGCUCGGCGUCACGCCUUCGCUCGUCGUGUCCGAUUAUCGUCGAUGUGCACUUCUCCCCUAGUAGAACGUCGCGACCCGUUGGGUGUCGGCCUACGGUACGGCAAGGUAGCCUGUCGCGUCGCGUUCACGCGCGCACACGGCAGACCGUCGUCACCCGGCCGGCUGCCCGGCGGUAUAAGUCAUCGUACCGAUUGACAAUGGUAACGGGCCGCACUCCAUCGAUCGUCGCUCGCGGCGGUCGUGCUCAGUGCGUUCAGGCUCGUCGGCAGGUCCCUCGUGCACGGAUUUACGAACCUAGUCUUCGUAGCCGGGCGCGCGUAGGCCGCUAGUCGACGAUGUCCUCGG